rnacentral:rRNA from 1 species
CAGCAGCCGCGGUAAUACGUAGGGUGCGAGCGUUAAUCGGAAUUACUGGGCGUAAAGGGCGCGUAGGCGGUUUGAACAGUCAGAUGUGAAAUUCCUGGGCUCAACCUGGGGGCUGCAUUUGAUACGUUUAGACUAGAGUGGGGAAGAGGGUCGUGGAAUUCCCAGUGUAGAGGUGAAAUUCGUAGAUAUCGGAAGGAACACCUGUGGCGAAAGCGGCUCACUGGACCAUAACUGACGCUGAUGCACGAAAGCUAGGGGAGCAAACAGGAUUAGAUACCCCAGUAGUCCCUGUCUCUUAUAC